rnacentral:rRNA from 1 species
GCAAGAAUGAAACUCAAAGGAAUUGACGGGGGCCCGCACAAGCGGAGGAACAUGUGGUUUAAUUCGAUGAUACGCGAGGAACCUUACCUGGGCUUAAAUGUAGCGUGACUUUACCCGAAAGGGUAUUUCUCUUCGGAGCAAGUUACAAGGUGCUGCAUGGCUGUCGUCAGCUCGUGCCGUGAGGUGUCGGGUUAAGUCCCAUAACGAGCGCAACCCCUAUUGUUAGUUGCCAGCGGGUCAUGCCGGGAACUCUAGCAAGACUGCCACCGUAAGGUGUGAGGAAGGUGGGGAUGACGUCAAGUCAGCACGGCCCUUAUGUCCAGGGCUACACACGUGUUACAAUGGUCGGUACAAAGGGCAGCUACCUAGUGAUAGGAUGCUAAUCUCGAAAACCGGUCUCAGUUCGGAUCGAAGUCUGCAACUCGACUUCGUGAAGUUGGAUUCGCUAGUAAUCGUAUAUCAGCAAUGAUACGGUGAAUACGUUCCCGGGCCUUGUACACACCGCCCGUCAAGCCAUGGAAGCUGGGGGUACCUGAAGUCCGUAACCGCAAGGAUCGGCCUAAGGUAAAACUAGUGACUGGGGCUAAGUCGUAACAAGGUA